rnacentral:misc_RNA from 1 species
AACUUUCAACAACGGAUCACUUGGUUCCGGCAUCGAUGAAGAACGCAGCGAAAUGCGAUAAGUAAUGUGGACCGCAGUACUCAGCGACUCAUCGAAUCUUUGAACGCAUAUUGCGCCCCUUGGUAACCCCAAUGGGCACACCUGUUCGAGCGUCAUUGAAGAUGUACAGGUUGUGGCCAGACUUGGUAUUUGAACUUAUCUGCGUUAGGCAGAAGUUUUAAAGUUAGUGAUGGUUCAGAUAGGUGUUCCAACGUAGUAAUAAUUAAAUCGUUGGUAAGAAUGCUUUUCUGAAACUAGUCAAAAGCCGAAUGAUAUCCCAGGGUUUUCGCUGGCGGAAACCUGGUUGGAUGUCCCAAAUAUUGACCUCGGAUCAGGUGAGGAUACCCGCUGAAUUUAAGCAUAUCAAUAAGCGGAGGCU